CCAAAUCUAACUCAGUCCCUGCCUCAUUCUUCUUCCACAGCCGCCAUUGGGGCCUGUAAAGAAAAAGAUGAAGAAAUCUUUGAGCACAAUCCAUUUGUUAUUGAUUUGAUUUCAUCAUCCCUUCCCAACAAUGCAAACCGCAUUUCCUUCAUGCCUGAUGAUUAUGACAAUACCAAUGUUUUAAAACCCGGCCCAUGCAUCAACCCGGUAAAUAGAAAGGGUUGAGGAUCAAAAGAUUCAACAGGGG
rnacentral:lncRNA from 1 species